CAUCGUUUUCCAAAGUGUUGCAAGCCUUUUAAAAAAUUAAUAAAGCCACAAAAUGUUGAUUCAGGAAGUGAUUUUCUAUCAAAUUAGUAAGAGUAGAUAAUUGUUCUAUUGUACUACAAACAGUUCCUAAGCUAGAGCAUUGUUAUCCUUUAUCCACCAAGCUAAUCUAUCAGUCAGUAUAUUACAGUAUUAUAAGUAAGACACUGAUGCAGGGGAGACCCUUUAUAACAAAGAGGAUCUCUCGCAUCUUACAUGUUAAAUUUAGGAACCUGAUUCAUAAUACAUCAAUAUUAUUUAUAGAACAUCAACAGGAUCCAUUAUAUACUAAACUAUACAACACUGUCUAAUUGAUAAAUGGAUUAUAUAACCCUGUUAACCAUCAGUGAUUUUGCAGAUCCAUUUAACCAAACAUUUUUAUGAAGCAGAAAUUUAUAUUUAGAAAUUUGUUUUCACUUGUGCUAAAA
rnacentral:lncRNA from 1 species